CCCUUAGAUGUCCUGGGCCGCACGCGCGCUACACUGAUACAUGCAACGAGUUUAUAACCUUGGCCUGAAAGGUCUGGGUAAUCUUUUGAACGUGCAUCGUGAUAGGGAUAGAUUAUUGCAAUUGUUAAUCUUGAACGAGGAAUUCCUAGUAAACGCGAGUCAUCAGCUCGCAUUGAUUACGUCCCUGCCCUUUGUACACACCGCCCGUCGCACCUACCGAUUGAAUGGUUCGGUGAAGAUCUCGGACUUCGAUAUUUAUUCUUUAUUGAGUUUAUAUUGUGGGAAGUUAUCUAAACCUCAUCAUUUAGAGGAAGGUGAAGUCGUAACA
rnacentral:rRNA from 1 species